rnacentral:rRNA from 1 species
UACGGGGGGGGGCAAGCGUUGUUCGGAAUUACUGGGCGUAAAGGGCGCGUAGGCGGCCUUCUAAGUCGAACGUGAAAUCCCCGGGCUCAACCCGGGAACUGCGUCCGAUACUGGAAGGCUUGAAUCCGGGAGAGGGAUGCGGAAUUCCAGGUGUAGCGGUGAAAUGCGUAGAUAUCUGGAGGAACACCGGUGGCGAAGGCGGCAUCCUGGACCGGCAUUGACGCUGAGGCGCGAAAGCGUGGGGAGCAAACAGG